rnacentral:rRNA from 1 species
AUUGAACGCUGGCGGCAUGCCUUACACAUGCAAGUCGAACGGCAGCAUGGAGAGCUUGCUCUCUGAUGACGAGUGGCGAACGGGUGAGUAAUGCAUCGGAACGUACCGUGUAAUGGGGGAUAACGUAGCGAAAGUUACGCUAAUACCGCAUACGACCUGAGGGUGAAAGCAGGGGAUCGCAAGACCUUGCGUUAUACGAGCGGCCGAUGUCAGAUUAGCUAGUUGGUGAGGUAAAGGCUCACCAAGGCGACGAUCUGUAGCGGGUCUGAGAGGGUGAGCCGCCACACUGGGACUGGGACACGGCCCAGACUCCGACGGGAGGCAGCAGUGGGGAAUUUUGGACAAUGGGGGCAACCCUGAUCCAGCCAUGCCGCGUGAGUGAAGAAGGCCUUCAGGUUGUAAAGCUCUUUCGGCCGGGAAGAAAUCGCACAGGCUAAUACUCUGUGUGGAUGACGGUACCGGCAUAAGAAGCACCGGCUAACUACGUGCCAGCCGCCGCCGUAA